CUGCAAACAAAGGCCGGAUGAAUGCUUCUCAAACUUGGCAAUCUUGAGGCACCUUGUUCUGGACCACCAUUAGAGUUGGCACGACAUCACAGGAAUGACAUGUACACCAGGGCAGCAAGAU